rnacentral:rRNA from 1 species
CCUACGGGAGGCAGCAGUGGGGAAUAUUGCACAAUGGGGGAAACCCUGAUGCAGCGACGCCGCGUGGAGGAAGAAGGUCUUCGGAUUGUAAACUCCUGUUGUUGGGGAAGAUAAUGACGGUACCCAACAAGGAAGUGACGGCUAACUACGUGCCAGCAGCCGCGGUAAAACGUAGGUCACAAGCGUUGUCCGGAAUUACUGGGUGUAAAGGGAGCGCAGGCGGGAAGACAAGUUGGAAGUGAAAUCUAUGGGCUCAACCCAUAAACUGCUUUCAAAACUGUUUUUCUUGAGUAGUGCAGAGGUAGGCGGAAUUCCCGGUGUAGCGGUGGAAUGCGUAGAUAUCGGGAGGAACACCAGUGGCGAAGGCGGCCUACUGGGCACCAACUGACGCUGAGGCUCGAAAGUGUGGGUAGCAAACAGGAUUAGAUACCCUGGUAGUCCACACCGUAAACGAUGAUUACUAGGUGUUGGAGGAUUGACCCCUUCAGUGCCGCAGUUAACACAAUAAGUAAUCCACCUGGGGAGUACGACCGCAAGGUUGAAACUCAAAGGAAUUGACGGGGGCCCGCACAAGCAGUGGAGUAUGUGGUUUAAUUCGACGCAACGCGAAGAACCUUACCAAGUCUUGACAUCCUGCGACGAUGCUAGAAAUAGUAUUUUCCUUCGGGACGCAGAGACAGGUGGUGCAUGGUUGUCGUCAGCUCGUGUCGUGAGAUGUUGGGUUAAGU